AUUGAACGCUGGCGGCAUGCCUAACACAUGCAAGUCGAACGGUAACAGAUCUACGGCUGGCGCCGACGGGCGGCGGGGGGCGUACUGCUUCGGAACAUACCCGAACCUAGGGUUUCGCGGGGCGAAACGUAGGGUAACAUCGCCUACGACCUCAGACUAAAUACGGGUGAAAGCAGGGGAUUUGCGGAUCUUGGCGGCUGAAGGGAGCCGAUGUCGGAUUAGGUAGUUGGCGGGGUAAAGGCCUACCAAGGCGACGAUCCGUAGCUGGUCUGAGAGGACGACCAGCCACACUGGGACUGAGACACGGUCCAGACUCCUACGGGAGGCAGCAGUGGGGAAUAUUGGACAAUGGGCGAAAGCCUGAUCCAGCAAUGCCGCGUGCAGGAUGAAGGCCUUCGGGUUGUAAACUGCUUUUGUACGGAACGAAAAGGCGCUGGCUAAUACCUGGGGGACAUGACGGUACCGAAAGAAUAAGCACCGGCUAACUACGUG
rnacentral:rRNA from 1 species